GGCCAUUGUUAUAUCAUAGUUUGUUUCUGUGUGUGUAACAUUUUUACGUUGUGUUUCCGUUGUGUCGUUUGUUUUCUCCUAUAUUUGAGUGUACUAUAAGACGUGUCACGGUACUUUUCUAUCCCAAAUUCAUGUAUUUGGUUUUGAUGUUAUAUUGGUUAUUCUCAUCGGAUUUUGUCUAAUGCUUAGUCCGUUGCUGUGUGUGUUACAUUUUAAUGUUGUGUCGUUGUUCCCCUCUAAUAUUUAAUGUGUUUCCCUCAGUUUAGUUUGUUACCC
rnacentral:lncRNA from 1 species